UACAACUUUCAGCAACGGAUCUCUUGGCUCUCGCAUCGAUGAAGAACGCAGCGAAAUGCGAUAAGUAAUGUGAAUUGCAGAAUUCAGUGAAUCAUCGAAUCUUUGAACGCACCUUGCGCUCCUUGGUAUUCCGAGGAGCAUGCCUGUUUGAGUGUCAUUAAUAUAUCAA
rnacentral:rRNA from 1 species